rnacentral:hammerhead_ribozyme from 1 species
AUUCAUCUGACGAGUUCUAAACAUUACGAAACGCGCGUUCUGGAU